rnacentral:tRNA from 1 species
GCCGCCGGGGCGCUGCGGGUGCUGCGGCGCUCCGGGCGCCGGGUGCCGGAGGACGUGGCGGUGGUCGGGUUCGACGACUCGGUGGUGGCUC